UAGCAAACUAGAAAGAGCCGCCCUUCC
rnacentral:piRNA from 1 species